CAGUCGCCACGGGAAUACAGAGGGUGCAAGCGUUAAUCGGAAUUACUGGGCGUAAAGCGCGCGUAGGUGGUUUGUUAAGUUGGAUGUGAAAUCCCCGGGCUCAACCUGGGAACUGCAUCCAAAACUGGCAAGCUAGAGUAUGGUAGAGGGUGGUGGAAUUUCCUGUGUAGCGGUGAAAUGCGUGGAUAUAGGAAGGAACACCAGUGGCGAAGGCGACCACCUGGACUGAUACUGACACUGAGGUGCGAAAGCGUGGGGAGCAAACAGGAUUAGAUACCCCGGUAGUCCCUGUCUCUUAACA
rnacentral:rRNA from 1 species